UUUUCACUUUUCUUCUUUGUCUCUAUCAGCCGCCGCCGCUCCAGAUCUGAAUCUAGCUCGGCUCCUCUCUCCUCUCUCUCUCCCCCCUUCAGAUCUAACUCCAUGUAGAUGGCUCCUCUCUCCUCUUUCUCUCUCAUCCUUCAGAUCUGUGACUCCAAGUGAAUUCUAGAGCUCGGGUUUUCACUGUUCUCCCUCGAAGCUGGUUGCUCACUCCUCCCUCAAAGCUUGUCGUCCCUCGAAUCUCGUCGUCGAAUCCUGCGUCGAAGCUCGUCGUCCCUCGAAUUUCGUCGUCGACUCCUCCCUCGAAUUUCGUCGUUGACUCCUCUCUCGAAUUUCGUCGGAUUUUUUGUCGGCUUUGGGGAAAUCACUGCCUUUCUUAGGGGGGUUCGUCGGAUUUUUCCUUGAUUUGUUGGAUUUUUGGCAAUUACAGCAUAUCAUCACCGGAUAGCUUCAGCCCAGUGAGCCCACGUCGCGAACACGAACGUUGUGAACACGAACAAAACAAAAAAAAAACAAUCCACCCGAUAAAAGCAGAUCCAAAAAUCGCAUCCACUCACAUCAGUUCAUCUCUCCCCCCUGACAGCUGGUGCCAACCCCAAUCAAAAAGCCUAAACCCCUCAAUUAUUUCCCAAAGCUCAAUUUUCCUACUCACACCCUCGAAAACCCUAGCCCCCAUCUCCCUCAUCGUCUUCUUCCAUCUCCAAUGGACCAAAAUCUGUUGCAGGCGAUCUUGGGCAGCGAUCUCGGCCCGUUCUAGGCUCUGAUCUCUCAGGUGAUGGCCACCGCCAACGACCAACGAUCUCACGUCGAGUCAAUCUUCAACUUCGUUCGUGACCAUCAUCCAGAUAACCUAGCCCUAACUUGAUCAAAGAGGAGCAAAUAUAUAUGUUGAGUUUUUGGGAGGAAGUUACACCUGUGAUGCUUACCAUAUGACAGCCACACCCAGAGGUGUUGCUCUUUGCAUAGAGGUGUUAAUGGAAUGGGAGUCGCUAGAGAGGAUGCCAACAAUGUAAACGCUCAUGCAACUUCAACACUAUCUAAUAAUGUGAAAGAGUACCAAGCUCCCGUUAGUUGUUUUGGUCAAAAUCCCAAGGUUUGGCCAACUGUUUUCAAUAGAAAGUUUUGAAUUCGUCUUAUUUCCUGUUUGAAGACACUCCUAUUUAUAUGAGAAUUCUUAUAUGGAAUAAUUUUCAACUUCUUCAACUGUCCUUAAGCUAUAUCUUACCUGUGAUGAGCUUAAGAGGGGGAGGGAUGAGGCUGAUGGAAUAGUUCUUUGUGGAGAUUUCAACUCAAGGCCCCAAAGUGAAAUUUAUCAAGGGAUUAUUACCAACAAUUUAUCAAGGGAAACUAUUUUCUCGUUAUCCUCAGUGGACUUGUGACUUCCGUCAAUGGUGGAAGCGGAACUUACAUGCCGUCAAAUAGGCACAGAAAGUACUCCUGUGUUUCUUCCACUUUUUUUUUCAAGAGUGGGUUCAUGAGAAUAGAAGAAUGGGCCUGGAGCAGAAAGACCGCUUACUUGUCAAGCAUUUUUGGAACCUCAUAAUAGUAGAUAGAAGGACAAGAGUUUGCGCGGUCACCCGGAAGUUGACACUGGCCGGAGGUUUUUUUUUGACCUGCUAGGGGAUUCAAACACAGGACUGGCCCGCUAUGUCUUUCUCCAAUAGGAGCGUGGCAGGGCCUUACACCGCUAUGCCAAUUGUGCGGGUUAAAAUAUGAAACAAAGCCCAGAGUCCAGACCACUUUAAUGCCCCACUUGGUUACUAGAUGGCACGGCUACUACUUGAGUUUUGGUGUAUAUUCUUGUCUGCUGAAAUCACACGAGAAUUCUGAGUGACAAUUCAGCGCAAAUCUUCUUGGUCAUCGAAGAGACCGUUCUGAUUUUUGUCCUGGCUGUAUGAUCUUCGUGGGCCAGAGAGGAAGGCUCUGAUCUCAUGCCUGAAGGUUGUUAUUACAAGUAUAUCAGAACGACCUCACAUAAAAGAAAGGAGACUACUGGGAGCUUCCUAGAUGAUGAUAGCCCAAGGAUCUACAAGAAACACCAAGAUAGCAUACAUUAUGGCUGGUCUCAUCUGACAACCAGUUAUUCCAUCAGAGGAAGAGCUUUCCCUUUAUUGAAUGUUUGACAUGAAAGAGGUCUCACCAA